UACAGAGGUCCCGAGCGUUGUUCGGAUUCACUGGGCGUAAAGGGUGCGUAGGCGGUCGGGUAAGUUUGACGUGAAAUCUUCAAGCUUAACUUGGAAACUGCGUCGGAUACUAUUCGGCUCGAGGAAUGGAGGGGAGACUGGAAUACUUGGUGUAGCAGUGAAAUGCGUAGAUAUCAAGUGGAACACCAGUGGCGAAGGCGAGUCUCUGGACAUUUCCUGACGCUGAGGCACGAAAGCGUGGGGAGCAAACAGG
rnacentral:rRNA from 1 species